CACGUAGGGUGCGAGCGUGUCCGGAAUUAUUGGGCGUAAAGAGCUCGUAGGCGGUCUGUCACGUCGGCUGUGAAAACUCGGGGCUCAACUCCGAGCCUGCAGUCGAUACGGGCAGACUAGAGUUCGGUAGGGGAGACUGGAAUUCCUGGUGUAGCGGUGAAAUGCGCAGAUAUCAGGAGGAACACCGAUGGCGAAGGCAGGUCUCUGGGCAUUAACUGACGCUGAGGAGCGAAAGCAUGGGGAGCGAACAGG
rnacentral:rRNA from 1 species